rnacentral:rRNA from 1 species
GAUGAACGCUGGCGGCGUGCCUAAUACAUGCAAGUCGAGCGAACGGACGAGAAGCUUGCUUCUCUGAUGUUAGCGGCGGACGGGUGAGUAACACGUGGAUAACCUACCUAUAAGACUGGGAUAACUUCGGGAAACCGGAGCUAAUACCGGCUGAUAUUUUGAACCGCAUGGUUCAAAAGUGAAAGACGGUCUUGCUGUCUCUUAUAGAUGGAUCCGCGCUGCAUUAGCUAGUUGGUAAGGUAACGGCUUACCAAGGCAACGAUGCAUAGCCGACCUGAGAGGGUGAUCGGCCACACUGGAACUGAGACACGGUCCAGACUCCUACGGGAGGCAGCAGUAGGGAAUCUUCCGCAAUGGGCGAAAGCCUGACGGAGCAACGCCGCGUGAGUGAUGAAGGUCUUCGGAUCGUAAAACUCUGUUAUUAGGGAAGAACAUAUGUGUAAGUAACUGUGCACAUCUUGACGGUACCUAAUCAGAAAGCCACGGCUAACUACGUG